rnacentral:rRNA from 1 species
UGGGGAAUAUUGCACAAUGGGGGAAACCCUGAUGCAGCGACGCCGCGUGAAGGAUGAAGUAUUUCGGUAUGUAAACUUCUAUCAGCAGGGAAGAAAANGACGGUACCUGACUAAGAAGCCCCGGCUAACUACGUGCC